rnacentral:rRNA from 1 species
CCUACGGGAGGCAGCAGUGGGGAAUCUUGGACAAUGGGCGCAAGCCUGAUCCAGCCAUGCCGCGUGAGUGAUGAAGGCCCUAGGGUUGUAAAGCUCUUUCACCGGUGAAGAUAAUGACGGUAGCCGGAGAAGAAGCCCCGGCUAACUCCGUGCCAGCAGCCGCGGUAAUACGGAGGGGGCUAGCGUUGUUCGGAAUUACUGGGCGUAAAGCGCACGUAGGCGGGUAUCCAAGUUGGGGGUGAAAUCCCGGGGCUCAACCCCGGAACUGCCUCCAAAACUGGGUACCUAGAGUCCGAGAGAGGUGAGUGGAAUUCCCAGUGUAGAGGUGAAAUUCGUAGAUAUUGGGAAGAACACCAGUGGCGAAGGCGGCUCACUGGCUCGGUACUGACGCUGAGGUGCGACAGCGUGGGGAGCAAACAGGAUUAGAUACCCUAGUAGUC